GCAGCAACUGCAAAAGCAAUAUUGGUAUAUUUGAUUAAGGCUGAAAUUCCGAGCCAUCACAUGGAGAAGAGCUUCUCCAGCAGGUUUCCCAGACCUACAGUGGAUUUUACAGAACACUGUACCGGCAACCAAAGGAGCAUCACUCGGUCCCAGAAGAAUGAGAAAAUGAAGUUUGUACAAGGCCUGGGGCAGAGCAGGAAAGCAACAUGGUUUCUAAGCACAGUUCCAAGCCUGAGGAGAAUCUCAAUUUAUGGACUCAUGACAGUGGCUUCUCUGCUUACAAUUAAGAUUCUGAUCAUAUAACAUCGUCUCAGCAUCUCGAAGGGAGAGGUGCCGCUGCUGGUUUGACAAAGGGAGCUGCCCAGGCAGCAAGGAAGUGCAGACCUCCAGGAAUUGGAAGCAGGCCCAGAUGACCGCCAGCGAGAAAAUAGGGACCUCGGUCCCACAGCUGCCAAGACUUGAAUUCUGCCCACUACCAAAUGUCCUCGAAGAGGCCGACAGCUUGCCUGCAGCCUUGUGGAACCUGGAACCAAGGACCCAGUGAAGCCAUAAUCGGACUCCUGCCCCUAGGAAACUCUGAGAUAAUAAAUGUAGGUUGUCCUAA